rnacentral:rRNA from 1 species
UAACUUAGUGGCGGACGGGUGAGUAACGCGUGGGUAACCUGCCGUAUACAGGGGGAUAACACUUAGAAAUAGGUGCUAAUACCGCAUAAGCGCACGGUUCCGCAUGGGACAGUGUGAAAAACCGAGGUGGUAUACGAUGGACCCGCGUCUGAUUAGCCAGUUGGCAGGGUAACGGCCUACCAAAGCGACGAUCAGUAGCCGGCCUGAGAGGGCGGACGGCCACAUUAGGACUGAGACACGGCCCAAACUCCUACGGGAGGCAGCAG